AACAGGAUUAGAUACCCUGGUAGUCCACGCCGUAAACGAUGAGUGCUAGGUGUUGGGGGGUUCCCCCUCAGUGCCGAAGGUAACCCAUUAAGCACUCCGCCUGGGGAGUACGGCCGCAAGGCUGAAACUCAAAGGAAUUGACGGGGGCCCGCACAAGUGGUGGAGCAUGUGGUUUAAUUCGAAGCAACGCGAAGAACCUUACCAGGGCUUGACAUCCCGCUGACCGCUCCAGAGAUGGAGCUUCCCUUCGGGGCAGCGGUGACAGGUGGUGCAUGGUUGUCGUCAGCUCGUGUCGUGAGAUGUUGGGUUCAGUCCCGCAACGAGCGCAACCCUUAUCGCCAGUUGCCAGCAUUUCGGAUGGGGACUCUGGCGAGACAGCCGGUGAAAGCCGGAGGAAGGUGGGGAUGACGUCAAAUCAUCAUGCCCCUUAUGUCCUGGGCUACACACGUGCUACAAUGGCCAGUACAAAGGGAAGCGAACCCGCGAGGGGGAGCCAAUCCCAAAAAACUGGUCUCAGUUCGGAUCGCAGGCUGCAACUCGCCUGCGUGAAGCCGGAAUCGCUAGUAAUCGCGGAUCAGCAUGCCGCGGUGAAUACGUUCCCGGGCCUUGUACACACCGCCCGUCACACCACGAGAGUUUGCAACACCCGAAGUCGGUGAGGCAACCCUUCUGGGAGCCAGCCGCCGAAGGUGGGGCAGAUGAUUGGGGUGAAGUCGUAACAAGGUAACC
rnacentral:rRNA from 1 species